GCUCACAUUACCCACAACAACGACUGCGAAGCUGGAGCUGCACCAUCCGCCCAGCAGGGCCAGGGCGGAGGGGGCAGUAACAAUGUAGCUACAGACUUAACUCUGUACGAGUUCAAGGAGCAGCUCCUGCUGCUGUCCACUCUAGUCACAACGGUGACCUACGUCGCCGGGCUGAACCUGCCGGGGGGGUCCUGGGAGCAGGAUGACCCCGGGGGCCACAUCGCCGGUGAUCCGAUCCUACGGGAUCUCCACUACCACCGGUACCUCGCCUUCUACUACUCCAACGCCACCGCAUUCGCCGCGUCCCUUGUGAUCUCCCUCAUCCUCGUCAUCCUGCCAAAGAAGAACCAUGUUUGGACAUCGGUGCUGCGGGUGGUGAUGAUGGUCGAUCUACUUGGCCUCAUGGGCUCCUAUGGUGCCGGGAGCUGCCGGGAUGCGUUCACCACCAUCUUCGCAGUGGUAGCCUUCUCUGUUUUGGUAUUGUGCAUCAUUGGUGUUUUCUUCUCCUACCUCUGGCUGAAUGGUGACAAAGAGGCCCACUCCAACCCCAUCUCCAAUGCCAACUCGAACUCCGAGUCCAUCUCCAUCUCAGAUGCCAACUCGAACUCCGAGUGCAUCACCAUCUCCCAUUACAACUCCAAUUCUAUCUCCGCCCCUGACGCCACCUCCAGUUCCAACUUGAACCCUAUCUCCAACCCCAAAUACAGUUUUAUUUUCCGUGCCAGCAAGCAAGUCCCGACACAAAAUAACGUGUUGAAUUUACUUGUUAACUCCAAGAAGCAAAAGAAGUAUCAGAUCGAUGUUUUAAUGUUACUGGCAACAUUAGCAAUCACCAUCACAUACGUUGCCGGGCUUAGCCCACCUGGUGGAUUCUGGAGCAGCACCCAGGACGGCCAUCAUUUGAGCGACCCCGUGUUACAAGCCCGACGUCGGUUCCGUGCCUUCUACGUUUGCAACACCACCUCGUUUGUCGUGUCCCUACUCAUCGUCGUGUUUCUCCUGGAGAAGAUGAUGCUCGGAGAGAAGGAGCUGUUCGGGAGAUUGACAUGGUGGUUCGUGAAAAAGAAGCUCAUGCCAAUGCGGCUUGCGGUGCCCUACUGGUUGAUUGCCAUUGCUUUGUUGGCACUCAUGGGGGCCUAUGCUGCUGGGAGUUGCAGAGGUGCUGGCAGUACUGUCUUGGUGCUUGCUAUUCCUGUCUGCGUCUUCCUCCUGCUGGCGCUUGUUUUCCUUCAGGAACAGAAUCUUAUUCUUUCCAUAGUAAGGCGGUGGUUCAAAGCGCGGUUCGGCACCCCUCGAGGUACCAACACAUAUCACCAAAUCACUCGCAAUCUUGGUACGCUCCUUGCUGUUUUUGUGGUGACCAUCACUUACCAAGCUGGACUAGAUCCACCGGGGGGCCUCUGGCAAGAGGAUGGGGAUGGGCAUAAAAUUGGCCAUCCAGUGCUGCAAACCACACAUCCUACUCGGUACAUAGUGUUCUUCUAUGGCAACUCCACAGCUUUUGUAACAACCAUGCUCAUCAUCUUGAUGUUCCACAGCAAGUAUUUGCUCACGCGGCCCAUAGUGGAAGCAACCAUGGGACUAGACCUACUGUGCCUCAUAACGGCUUAUGGCGCUGGUAGCACUAGGGAUGUAAACACAUCCAUCUACAUCAUCGCCUUGGAAGGUCUUCUUCUAGUCUACGUCAUCGUCCAUAUGUCCGUUAAAGACUCUGGUCCAGAGCCGGAAGGUUAUGCUGCAGUAAAGGAUCUAGAAGACAAGCGCAAGAUGUUGCUGUUGAUUGCUAUAUUGGUCACAACCCUCACAUACCAAGCUGGUCUCACUCCGCCAGGUGGCUUUUGGUUAGCAGAUGACCAAGCACUCGGUCGCCAUGUGGGUUUCCCAGUUCUCCUCGACAAUUACCCUCGCCGUUACAACAUAUUCUUUUAUAGCAACACAGCAAGCUUCAUGUCGUCAAUAACCCUCCUCCUUUUUCUCAUCAGUCCCAAACUUUAUAGGCUAGGUAUAGAUUGUUAUGUGCUCUAUGUGUGCAUGCUGGUGGGCAUGUUUGGCCUCAUGGGCGCUUAUGCUGCUGGAAGCUCCAGGCAUCUGAAAACCUCCAUUUUUGUGUUAACCUUGGUUGUGCCGGUGUUGGCAAUCAUAACCUUGCUGAUAGCCCUUUUUUGGUUCUUCUCGAAACAAAGUCAUGGCAGCAGCGACAACAUCACCUCCAUCAGAAACAACGACAACAGUAAUACAACAACCACAGCCACAAUCACAACCACCAUCACCGCCACCACCACCACCACCACCACCAUAGCUACCAACAACAACGACGACGACGACGAC
rnacentral:rRNA from 1 species